rnacentral:rRNA from 1 species
UACGUAGGGUCCAAGCGUUAAUCGGAAUUACUGGGCGUAAAGCGUGCGCAGGCGGUGAUGUAAGACAGGUGUGAAAUCCCCGGGCUUAACCUGGGAACUGCAUUUGUGACUGCAUCGCUGGAGUGCGGCAGAGGGGGAUGGAAUUCCGCGUGUAGCAGUGAAAUGCGUAGAUAUGCGGAGGAACACCGAUGGCGAAGGCAAUCCCCUGGGCCUGCACUGACGCUCAUGCACGAAAGCGUGGGGAGCAAACAGG